rnacentral:rRNA from 1 species
GACGAACGCUGGCGGCGUGCCUAAUACAUGCAAGUUGAACGCUUCUUUCUUAUCGAACUUCGGUUCACCAAGAAAGAGGAGUAGCGAACGGGUGAGUAACACGUGGGUAACCUGCCCAUCAGCGGGGGAUAACACUUGGAAACAGGUGCUAAUACCGCAUAAUGCUUUUUCUCACAUGAGAGAAAGCUGAAAGGCGCUUUUGCGUCACUGAUGGAUGGACCCGCGGUGCAUUAGCUAGUUGGUAGGGUGACGGCCUACCAAGGCAACGAUGCAUAGCCGACCUGAGAGGGUGAUCGGCCACACUGGGACUGAGACACGGCCCAGACUCCUACGGGAGGCAGCAGUAGGGAAUCUUCGGCAAUGGACGAAAGUCUGACCGAGCAACGCCGCGUGAGUGAAGAAGGUUUUCGGAUCGUAAAAACUCUGUUGUUAGAGAAAGAAACAAGGAUGAGAAAGAGAAUUUUCAUCCC